rnacentral:rRNA from 1 species
UACGGAGGGUGCAAGCGUUGUUCGGAAUCAUUGGGCGUAAAGGGCGUGUAGGCGGUCCGGUAAGUCGGGUGUGAAAGCCCUGGGCUCAACCCAGGAAGUGCAUCCGAAACUGCUGGACUUGAGUACGGGAGAGGGAAGUGGAAUUCCUGGUGUAGGGGUGAAAUCUGUUGAUAUCGGGUAGAACACCGAUGGCGAAAGCGGUCAUCUAGCCUCAUACUGACACUCAACGGCGAAAGCCAGGGGAGCGAACGGG